UAUAAUGGUACUAGCAACGGAUCUCACUGCCUGCUGUUGGCAAUCCUAGUAUUCCAUAGAUAGUUCCACCUGUUUCAUUUAACUGACCUGAGCUAAAGGAUCCUACAAUAAAGUGAAUCUGCAGCUGACGGGCAAGGAAUGUUGGAGAAGUCACUCACCUGCAAAACUCUGUGAUCUGGAAGAGCCCUGGCUUCAAGGUCAGACUGUGUCUUCAUGACUGGUGCAAAGGUGUGCCUAUGUUAUUAAAGCCAGGAAUACAGGAGUUAUGUUCAGCAGAAUGCACCGGUGCUUCAGUUCCUCACCGCGGAGCGGCUCUAAUGAACGCUCUUCUGUAGUCUCCUAAACACCUCCCAUGGCGUAUGCAGGGGCACUACCUUCACAUUCACCUAGAGGAGUUGCAGCCACCUACAGCACAUCAGCCAGAUGUGAGCCCACAAGGAACAGAGGUGUUUUUGUCACAGGUGUGUUCGUCCCUGCACAUCGUGUGUCUCUUCAACUGACUGCACAAUGAUGAUGGCAGAGCCAGGCUGAAGAUGGACCAUGCUGGAAUUUCCUUCUUGCAGUCUGAUGUACCUCAGAAAAUGACACUGAACAGCUCAGAAUAUCUCUGAGGUGAUGGUAUGGUCACCCAUCUGUAUCUCGCCUGGGAGCAUUUUUCAGACCUUUUGAGGCUU